CCUACGGGUGGCUGCAGUGAGGAAUAUUGGUCAAUGGGCGGGAGCCUGAACCAGCCAAGCCGCGUGAGGGAAGAAGGUACAGCGUAUCGUAAACCUCUUUUGUCAGGGAACAAAGUCUGGGACUCGUCCGCUGAUGAGUGUACCUUAUGAAAAAGCAUCGGCUAACUCCGUGCCAACAGCCGCGGUAAUACGGAGGAUGCGAGCGUUAUCCGGUUUUAUUGGGUUAAAAGGGUGCGCAGGGGGCCUGUUAAGUCAGCGGUAAAAGCCCGGGGCUCAACCUCGACCAGCCGUUGAAACUGGCGGGCUGGAGUGGGAGAGAGGUACGCGGAAUGCGCGGUGUAGCGGUGAAAUGCUUAGAUAUCGCGCAGAACCCCGAUUGCGAAGGCAGCGUACCGGCUCGAAACUGACGCUGAGGCACGAAAGCGUGGGUAUCGAACAGGAUUAGAUACCCUUGUAGUC
rnacentral:rRNA from 1 species